GCUGUCGUCAGCUCGUGUUGUGAAAUGUUGGGUUAAGUCCCGCAACGAGCGCAACCCUUAUCCUUUGUUGCCAGCACGUAAUGGUGGGAACUCAAAGGAGACUGCCGGUGAUAAACCGGAGGAAGGUGGGGAUGACGUCAAGUCAUCAUGGCCCUUACGAGUAGGGCUACACACGUGCUACAAUGGCGUAUACAAAGAGAAGCGAACUCGCGAGAGCAAGCGGACCUCAUAAAGUACGUCGUAGUCCGGAUCGGAGUCUGCAACUCGACUCCGUGAAGUCGGAAUCGCUAGUAAUCGUAGAUCAGAAUGCUACGGUGAAUACGUUCCCGGGCCUUGUACACACCGCCCGUCACACCAUGGGAGUGGGUUGCAAAAGAAGUAGGUAGCUUAACCUUCGGGAGGGCGCUUACCACUUUGUGAUUCAUGACUGGGGUGAAGUCGUAACAAGGUAACCGUAGGGGAACCUGCGGUUGGAUCACCUCCUUA
rnacentral:rRNA from 1 species